ACGAACGCUGGCGGCGUGCUUAACACCUGCCAGUCGCACGGAAAGGCCCUGCUUUUGUGGGGUGCUCGAGUGGCGAACGGGAGAGUAACACGUGAGUAACCUGCCCUUGACUUUGGGAUAACUUCAGGAAACUGGGGCUAAUACCGGAUAGGAGCUCCUGCUGCAUGGUGGGGGUUGGAAAGUUUCGGCGGUUGGGGAUGGACUCGCGGCUUAUCAGCUUGUUGGUGGGGUAGUGGCUUACCAAGGCUUUGACGGGUAGCCGGCCUGAGAGGGUGACCGGCCACAUUGAGACUGAGAUACGGCCCAGACUCCUACGGGAGGCAGCAGUGGGGAAUAUUGCACAAUGGGCGGAAGCCUGAUGCAGCAACGCCGCGUGCGGGAUGACGGCCUUCGGGUUGUAAACCGCUUUCGCCUGUGACGAAGCGUGAGUGACGGUAAUGGGUAAAGAAGCACCGGCUAACUACGUG
rnacentral:rRNA from 1 species